rnacentral:rRNA from 1 species
AUCCUACGGGGCGCAGCAGUAGGGAAUCUUCCACAAUGGACGAAAGUCUGAUGGAGCAACGCCGCGUGAGUGAAGAAGGGUUUCGGCUCGUAAAGCUCUGGUUGUAGUGAAGAAAGAUAGAGGUAGUAACUGGCCUUUAUUUAACGGUAAUUACUUAUAAAGUCACGGCUAACUACGUGCCAGCAGCCGCGGUAAUACGUAGGUGGCAAGCGUUGUCCGGAUUUAUUUGGCGUAAAGCGAGUGCUGGCGGUUUCAUAA